rnacentral:rRNA from 1 species
GUCCUACGGGGGGCAGCAGUGGGGAAUAUUGGGCAAUGGGCGCAAGCCUGACCCAGCAACGCCGCGUGAAGGAAGAAGGCUUUCGGGUUGUAAACUUCUUUUCUCAGGGACGAAGAAAGUGACGGUACCUGAGGAAUAAGCCACGGCUAACUACGUGCCAGCAGCCGCGGUAAUACGUAGGUGGCAAGCGUUAUCCGGAUUUACUGGGUGUAAAGGGCGCGAAGGCGGGAUAGCAAGUCAGAUGUGAAAUCCUAUGGCUUAACCAUA